UCCAGUAUAACUAGCAAAAUAAUUCUGCCAGACAGAUAGGAUUGUCUGAAACCCAUCCUCUUGCCAAUGGAACAGAAAUAUGAUGAUGAUGCUCUUCAUAAUAUAAUUAGCAUCCAUUUUGCUCUAAAGGUAAACCUCAGGAUUACUUUCUCUGAAGUCUUCAGGAGCCAUUGAAAUGCUAAACACUCAGAAUAACUGGGAGAAGUAGACUUAAGCAAAACAUGGGCUGUUGUUUGAGGAAGAUGGAAACUGCUCGCAGGAGAAUCCAGAAGGGCAUUGCAAAAGUGACCUUAGUACCAACAAAAAGAGGCUCCUGAGUUCCACUGCUAUAAUCAUUCCUGAUUGUAGGUGAGUUCAUGGUAGUGAAGCCUUUGGGAGAACAGUUUACUGAAUUUCAGACAGAAACAGAGGAUUUAUGAGCUUGUGUACCGGGGUGUUGUACUAGAAAAUGUUUCACUUUGUGAGGCUGUUACUAGUGUGGAGUUAAAGACAAAACAAGGUGUAAAACAUGGUGGACGAGAUAAAGAACAUGCAUGGAGUACCAAUUUUUACUUUUAAAUCGUUUCUUCAAGAUCAGAAAGGAAUAUAGUGUUUUAGAGGAUAAUCCUGUGGCAAGUCAGCUCCAUGUUAAGACUUAAAGAUGGACAGUGAAUGUGGAAGAUAGAAAAAUCUAAACAAGAUGAAAGAAGAAAGGAGAUUUGAAAAAAACCCAAACUGUCUGUCACAUAUCAGGUUCGUAUCUUGAAGAAUCAGAUUGAAUACAUUGAUGAGUAAAUCUUAUGACUCCCUUGGAACAGAGAAGUUACUCAGGAUCCACCUUUGCUGAAUGUUGAGAUUCUGAAAUAAAGUUAAUUAUUCUGUCUAAUGAGUGCUGCAAAGGCCUUACACAAACCUGCAUGAAAGUCUUGGGCACAACAUCUGGACAUAGGUAGCAGACAGACUGCCUGUUGCCCUGAUCCAGCUGCUUUCUUCUGGCUCAGCCUGAAAACUCAGGAGAGUGCACAAGUAGGGAUUAAUGAGCUGUUUUCAGGGAAAGCAGAUGCUCCAGGGAAGAUUGCACAGAGGUUUCAGAUAUUCAACAGACCAGCUCCUGCACACUCUCUGUUUAAACCUUCCCAAGUUUAACAACAACUGAGGAUCCAUUUUGCUUGAUCAGGCUCUCAAGGUGCCCAAGUUACUUCCAGCAGCCUGAGAAGGUGCUGGUAUGUAAUGAUAAAAAUACUACACCUGAGCAGACAUUCCUUUUCCUUUUGGAAUAACCAAAAGACCAGAUGGCUUGGCUUACAAGACUGACUCAGGCAGCAGUAGCUGCAAUAGAUCUUCAGGUGUGACACAUUUUGACACUGUGAUAACCUGAUAUUUGAAAUCUUGCUAUGGUAUUCAGAAAUGUUUAAUAAAGUAA